ensembl:lncRNA
AUUAUGAGCACACGCAUAUAAGACAUCAACCAGUGAAUAUACUGCAAUAGAAUAUAUGGUGCUACACACAGGACCAGGAGGAAAGAGAAACAUGAAAGAGAGUGCAGGAAAAAGGAGGAAAUGUUGGCGAGACGAGUGUGAAACCGAGAAUCUGUGGCAGGUUUGGUUUUCUUAGACCUCUCACCUUGCGUGCUACCACAUCGUUGCCUCAGUAACGUGGAGGAAUUUCUGACGGGGAAAAAAACAAAAGGCCCGCUCUCAGAAAAGAAGAAAAACUACUGAGAGGCCAAGAAAAAAGCAAAGAGGGAAAAGCAAAGCACUGGUCAAACAGAACCAUAUGGGAGAGUGUGGGGCUGGCUUUGAUCUUGGCCCAACGCCUGAUUGAUGCUGCGCUUUUCAUUUCCUCGUCAAGGCCGUGACAUAAUGUUUCACUAACACUGGAGACCCCUCGCUCUUCUCUUUCCUCAUCUCGAUCCCUCGUGCCUCUAAUUCACCCUGUUGCCACCUCACCGCAGAACCGGGGACGAAACGUUCGUGCAUUGCUAAACAACAUGUGCGGCAACACAGCAAAACAUUCUGGGCUUUGAAACGACCGUCAGACGAUCUCUAAUGUGACACAAGAGAAAGAUGUGAUCGAUACACGAACUGGGAUGAGUCUUUCAGUAUCUGAAGGUGGACAUCUGCAAGGCUUGUUUGAUACGGCUGCGAUGACCUCACUGUUGCUAGCGUGCGGAAAAAGCCGGGUCAUAGAUGAAAGACCACUGCAAUCUGUGUUUGACUGACCUUCGCUCACCUCCCUCUCCAGAGCUCUGGGUCACAUCCACACAUCUGGGAGCCAUUUCCUCCCCAAAGGACUCACUUCCUGUGUGCAGCCGCUUAACAUGGAGGUGUUUCUGCAAGAGGUCAUGGUGGGAUCAUAGGAAAAGGUCUUUGGUUAAAGUUUCCCUGCAGCAACUUCUCAUUCUUUUGCAUCGGACAGGAUGACAACAGUGAGACGGUUUUUCUCUUUGAUCACAACACCUGGACGUCUCCCACAAAUCAAACGACAGAAGCUUACAAAAAAGACUUCUGGUGGAUUUUAUAUAUCCUACAGAUGGGAGCUUCAGCUGUCUGACUCAUCUUUAAGAGACUCUUGAGCACUUUUCAGAGUCUGAUAAGUGUCUUGAGGAUUUCUCUAGACAUGUCAUGCACUUACAGUCGACACUUGCAAACUUUAGUUGUUUCUAUGCCUUUU